GGAUCAUUGUCGAACCCUGCAAGGCAGAACGACCUGUGAACACGUAAAUACAACUGGGUGAUGGGGAGAUGGAUCUUGGUUCUGAUCCUCAACACCUCCUAGCGUGCCUGCAUGCUUUCUCUUUUGGGCUAUCAUGCAUGUAUUGUUGGAAUUUAACAAAACCCCGGCACGGCAUGUGCCAAGGAAAACAAUAAACGAGAAGGACUCGACCUGUUAUGCCCCGUUUGUGGUGUGCAUUCUGAGCGUGUCCUCCUUUGAAUCACAAACGACUCUCGGCAACGGAUAUCUCGGCUCACGCAUCGAUGAAGAACGUAGCAAAAUGCGAUACUUGGUGUGAAUUGCAGAAUCCCGUGAACCAUCGAGUUUUUGAACGCAAGUUGCGCCCGAAGCCAUCCGGUUUAGGGCACGCCUGCCUGGGCGUCACGCAUCGCGUCGCCCCCCAUCAUACUUCCCUUAAGGGUAGUCGUGGUGAUUGGGAGCGGAGAUUGGCUUCCCGUGCUUGUUGUGCGGUUGGUCAAAAUAGGAGUCCCCUUCGGUGGACACACGGCUAGUGGUGGUUGUAAAGACCCUUUUCUUCUGCUGUGUGUUGUGAGCUGCUAGGGAAACCCUCAAAAAAGAACCCAAUGUAUCGUUCUAGGACGAUGCUUCGACCGCGACCCCAGGUCAGGCGG
rnacentral:rRNA from 1 species